UUCCGGUUAGCGUGGUAGGAGAAGCCAUGAGCAGCAAAGUCUCUCGCCACACCCUGUACGAGGUGGUGCGGGAAGUCCUGCACGGGAACCAGCGCAAGCGCCACAAGUUCCUGGAGACGGUGGAGUUGCAGAUCAGUUUGAAGAACUAUGACCCCCAGAAGGACAAGCGUUUCUCGGGCACCGUCAGGCUUAAGUCCACUCCUCGCCCCAAGUUCUCUGUAUGUGUCCUGGGGGACCAGCAGCACUGUGAUGAGGCCAAGGCUGUGGAUAUCCCCCACGUGGACAUCGAGGCGCUGAAAAAACUCAACAAGAAUAAAAAACUGGUCAAGAAGCUGGCCAAGAAGUAUGAUGCAUUUUUGGCCUCAGAGUCUCUGAUCAAGCACAUUCCACGAAUCCUCGGCCCAGGCCUAAAUAAGGCAGGAAAAGUUCCCCUCCCUGCUCACACACAAUGAAAACAUGGUGGCCAAAGUGGAUGAGGUGAAGUCCACGAUCAAGUUCCAAAUGAAGAAGGUGUUAUGUCUGGCUGUGGCUGUUGGUCACAUGAAGAUGACAGACAAUGAGCUUGUGUAUAACAUUCACCUGGCUGUCAAUUUCUUGGUGUCAUUGCUCAAGAAAAACUGGCGGAAUGUCCCGGCCUUAUAUAUCAAGAGCACCAUGGGCAAGCCCCAGCGCCUAUAUUAAGACACAUUUGAAUAAAUUCUAUUACCAGUCAA